AAGACUAUACUUUCAGGGAUCAUUUCUAUAGUUCUUGACUGGAGAAAUGUGUUUCUAAAGUGUUUGGUCUCGCUAACCAUGAUGAAGAGUUGUGAUGUUCCUUCCUGAGUGUGAAGUGGACAGAGAAUCAUGACUCACUUCAUAUGUUCUCUGUCAUUGAUGACUGUUCUGUACUUCCAUGUGGAGUACUGAGGGAAGGAGCUUGAUCUGAGUGGU